rnacentral:tRNA from 1 species
UUAAUUGAAGCCAAAAAGAGGCAAAUCACUGUUAAUGAUUGUACUGGAUAUUUAUACCCCAAUUAAG